CCAUGACUGGAGAGUCACCAUCCUGGAGAGACCUUUACUUAGCACCAUGCAUCACUGCUAGCAGGAGUUCUACUUCCUCUACUCCCUUUAUUGGAGGCAAUGACCCAGUUCCAGAGCAGAAAUGUGGGUGGCAGCCUAAAACCAGCACUGUAGAGAUGUUAUCCUGGAAUACCAAAGGCUUAAGGGCUUUCCUAUGGGGCUCCAACUACUGGCUGAGUGAUUUAAUGGAAUGAAAUGGUUGUUGAGCCACUCAACACUGACAUGUGGGAUUGGAAGCAGAGAUAGCAAGCUAUUGCCUCCAGCCCAAUUCUGCAAAGACAGCAUGUGGUCUCCUGAUGGCUGUGUUCAGGGCUAUUUCCCAGCAAGGACUGGUCCAGAUGGAAAGAAAAGAAAUUACUUGCAAUGUUUGUGAAAGGCUUCCCAGCCCACCCAGAUCUGAGAUAAUGAGCUUUCCCAGGCACUACGUAAUUCCCUCUGUUGUGCUUCUCUUUUUCUUUUACCAUAAAUGCACGUCUUGCUGCAGAUAAUAGAAGAUUAAACUCCUCACUUGGAAACUGAA